AAUGGAGGAAACUCUGACGCAGCCAUGCCGCAUGAGUGAAGAAGGCCCUAGGGUUGUAAAGCUCUUUCAGAUGCGAAGAUAAUGACGGUAACAUCAGAAGAAGCUCCGGCUAAAUUCGUGCCAGCAGCCGCGGUAAUACGAAUGGAGCGAGCGUUGUUCGGAAUCACUGGGCGUAAAGCGUAUGUAGGCGGAUAAGAAAGUCAGAAGUGAAAUCCCAGGGCUUAACCCUGGAACUGCUUUUGAAACUUCUUGUCUAGAGUCCCGGAGGGGUUGGCGGAAUUCCGAGUGUAGAGGUGAAAUUCGCAGAUAUUCGGAGGAACACCAGUGGCGUAGGCGGCCAACUGGACGGGAACUGACGCUGAGAUACGAAAGCGUGGGGAGCAAACUGGAUU
rnacentral:rRNA from 1 species